rnacentral:ncRNA from 1 species
UUUUAACUAAAAUAUAUGUACAAAAAGAUUAAUAAGAGUUUGAUCCUGGCUCAGAAUGAACGCUUAUAAUUAGCUUAACACAUGCAAGUUUAUUAUUGUUGGUUUUUCUAUUAAUAAUAGCGUACGGGUGAGUAAGAUAUGAAAAUUUUUUUUAAUAAGAAAAUAAUUAAAUUGAAUUAGAUUAAAAAAAGUUUAUACAAGAUUAAAUAGUUGGUGAAUGAAAGACUACCAAGUUCAUGAUCUUUAGUUGAUUUUUGAGAAUGACCAACCACAUUGGAAUUGAAAAACGGUCCAAACUUUAAAAAAAGGCAGCAGUGGGGAAUCUUAGGCAAUGAGCGAAAGCUUGACCUAGCUAAAUUAUGUAUGUGAAGAAAAUACUUAAUCGUAAAGCAUGAAAUAAUUGUAAAAUUAUGAUAAAUUUUGUCAAAUCCUGGCUAAUUUCGUGCCAGCAGCCGCGGUAAAACGAGAAGGGUUAGCGUUAUUCGGAUUAAUUGGGCGUAAAGAAUAUGUAGAUGGAAAAUUAACUAGAGGAAAAUAAUUUUAAAACAACCUUAAAUUAUUUUCGGUAAAAUUUUUUUCUAGAGUUUGUAAAAAGAUUGUAGAACUUUAAAUGUAACGGUAAAAUGUGUUGAUAUUUAAAAGAAUUUCGAGAGCGAAGGCAAUAAUCUGUUACGGGACUGACAUUAAGAUAUUAAAGCAUGGGUAGCAAAGGGGAUUAGAGACCCCCGUAGUCCAUUGCCAUCAACGAUGAAUGCUUAUUUUUGGUUUCGAUUAGAAGUACAGCUAACGCAUUAAGCAUUCCGCCUGGGAACUACGAUCGCAAGAUUAAAACUCAAAGGAAUUGACGGGAACCUAUACAAGCAGUGGAGCAUGUGGUUUAAUUCGACAAUACGCGCAGAAUCUUACUAACUUUUGAAUAAUAAUAUUAUUACAGGUGUUGCAUGGCUGUCGUCAGUCCGUGCUGUGAAGCGUUUGAUUAAUUUCAACAAACGGACGAAACUCUUAUACAAAAAUAAUUUGUAGACCGCUAAAGAUAUUUUAGAGGAAGAAAAGAAUGAUGUCAAGUCUUUAUGACCCUUAUGAGUUAGGCUACUUUCAUGUGCUACAAUAAUUAACACAAAAUUUAGUUAGAAUGCAAAUUAAAACAAAUAAAAAAAAUAAAUGUAUUCGAAUUACUUUCUGCAACUCGAAAGUAUGAAGAUGGAAUUGCUAGUAAUCGUAAAAAAGAACGUUACGGUGAAUACGUUCUUAGGUUUUGUACACACCGCCCGUCACGCUAUGGAAGUUUAAAAUGUUCGAAAAUUUUUACUAAUUUACAAUAUGAAAACAACUAAAGUGAAGUCGUAACAAGGUAGCCGUAGGGGAACCUGUGGCUGGAAAAUUU